rnacentral:rRNA from 2 species
UUCUAAAGAACCGUAAUGCCAUUAAUUUGGUGUCACGGGGAAUUAGGACUGUUACCUUGAAAAAAUUAGAGUGUUUAAAGCAGGCUCGCGCUUGAAUACAUUAGCAUGGAAUAAUGAAAUAGGACACCCGAUUCUAUUUUGUUGGUUUCUAGGAUCGAUGUAAUGAUUAAUAGGGAUAUUGGGGGCAUUAGUAUUCAAUUGUCAGAGGUGAAAUUCUUGGAUUUAUGAAAGACUAACUUCUGCGAAAGCAUUUGCCAAGGAUGUUUCCAUUAAUCAAGAACGAAAGUUAGGGGAUCGAAGACGAUCAGAUACCGUCGUAGUCUUAACCAUAAACUAUGCCGACUAGGGAUCGGACGAUGUUAUUUUAUUGACUCGUUCGGCGCCUUACGGGAAAC